rnacentral:rRNA from 1 species
UACGUAGGGCGCAAGCGUUGUCCGGAAUUAUUGGGCGUAAAGAGCUCGUAGGCGGCCUGUUGCGUCCGCUGUGAAAUCCCGGGGCUCAACCCCGGGCCUGCAGUGGAUACGGGCUGGCUGGAGGCAGGCAGGGGAGAACGGAAUUCCUGGUGUAGCGGUGAAAUGCGCAGAUAUCAGGAGGAACACCGGUGGCGAAGGCGGUUCUCUGGGCCUGUACUGACGCUGGAGGAGCGAAAGCGUGGGGAGCAAACAGG